GACGAACGCUGGCGGCGUGCUUAACACAUGCAAGUCGAACGGAAAGGCCUCUUUCGGGGGGUACUCGAGUGGCGAACGGGUGAGUAGCACGUGUGUAACCUGCCCUUGACUUUGGGAUAACUUCAGGAAACUGGGGCUAAUACCGGAUAGGAGCUCCUGCUGCAUGGUGGGGGUUGGAAAGUUUCGGCGGUUGGGGAUGGACUCGCGGCUUAUCAGCUUGUUGGUGGGGUAGUGGCUUACCAAGGCUUUGACGGGUAGCCGGCCUGAGAGGGUGACCCGCAACAUUGGGACUGAGGUACGGCCCAGACUCCUACGGGGGGCAACAGUGGGGAAUAAUGCACAAUGGGUGGAAGCCUGAUGCAACAACGCCGUGUGCGGGAUGACGGCCUUCGGGUUGUAAACCGCUUUCGGUCAUGACGAAACUUUGUGUGACGGUAGUGGGUAAAGAAGCACCGGCUAACUACGUG
rnacentral:rRNA from 1 species